GGGGAAUAUUGCGCAAUGGGGGAAACCCUGACGCAGCAACGCCGCGUGAGUGAGGAAGGACUUCGGUCUGUAAAGCUCUGUUAAUGUGGAAAAAUGGUAGUUGGUCUAAUAGGCCGAUUAUUUGAUGGUACACAUAGAGGAAGCACCGGCUAACUUCGUGCCAGCAGCCGCGGUAAUACGAAGGGUGCAAGCGUUGUUCGGAUUUAUUGGGCGUAAAGCGCGCGUAGGCGGACCUGCAAGUCAGAUGUGAAAUCUCGGGGCUCAACCUCGAAACUGCGUCUGAAACUACAGGUCUAGAAUCUUGGAGGGGGAAGGGGAAUUUCGCAUGUAGGGGUAAAAUCCGUAGAUAUGCGAAGGAACACCAGAGGCGAAGGCGCCUUCCUGGACAAGUAUUGACGCUGAGGCGCGAAAGCGUGGGGAUCAAAC
rnacentral:rRNA from 1 species